rnacentral:rRNA from 1 species
UACGUAGGUGGCAAGCGUUGUCCGGAUUUAUUGGGUUUAAAGGGUGCGUAGGCGGCGCGGUAAGUCGGGUGUGAAAUCUCGGAGCUUAACUCCGAAACUGCAUUCGAUACUGCCGUGCUUGAGGACUGGAGAGGAGACUGGAAUUUACGGUGUAGCGGUGAAAUGCGUAGAUAUCGUAAGGAAGACCAGUGGCGAAGGCGGCUCUCUGGGACGGUACUGACGCUGAGACGCGAAAGCGUGGGGAGCAAACAGG